rnacentral:rRNA from 3 species
UGGGGAAUAUUGGACAAUGGGGGGAACCCUGAUCCAGCCAUGCCGCGUGUGUGAAGAAGGCCUUUUGGUUGUAAAGCACUUUAAGCGAGGAGGAGGAGCUCUUGGUUAAUACCCAAGAUGCUUGGACGUUACUCGCAGAAUAAGCACCGGCUAACUCUGUGCCAGCAGCCGCGGUAAUACAGAGGGUGCAAGCGUUAAUCGGAUUUACUGGGCGUAAAGCGCGCGUAGGUGGCCAAUUAAGUCAAAUGUGAAAUCCCCGAGCUUAACUUGGGAAUUGCAUUCGAUACUGGUUGGCUAGAGUAUGGGAGAGGAUGGUAGAAUUCCAGGUGUAGCGGUGAAAUGCGUAGAGAUCUGGAGGAAUACCGAUGGCGAAGGCAGCCAUCUGGCCUAAUACUGACACUGAGGUGCGAAAGCAUGGGGAGCAAACAGG